GAUGAACGCUGGCGGCGUGCUUAACACAUGCAAGUCGAACGGUGAAGGCGGAGCUUGCUCUGCUGGAUCAGUGGCGAACGGGUGAGUAACACGUGAGCAAUCUGCCCCUGACUCUGGGAUAAGCGCUGGAAACGGCGUCUAAUACUGGAUACGAGCUGCGAAGGCAUCUUCAGCAGCUGGAAAGAAUUUCGGUCAGGGAUGAGCUCGCGGCCUAUCAGCUUGUUGGUGAGGUAAUGGCUCACCAAGGCGUCGACGGGUAGCCGGCCUGAGAGGGUGACCGGCCACACUGGGACUGAGACACGGCCCAGACUCCUACGGGAGGCAGCAGUGGGGAAUAUUGCACAAUGGGCGAAAGCCUGAUGCAGCAACGCCGCGUGAGGGACGAAGGCCUUCGGGUUGUAAACCUCUUUUAGCAGGGAAGAAGCGAAAGUGACGGUACCUGCAGAAAAAGAGCCGGCUAACUACGUG
rnacentral:rRNA from 1 species